GAUGAAGAACGCAGCGAAAUGCGAUACUUGGUGUGAAUUGCAGAAUCCCGUGAACCAUCGAGUCUUUGAACGCAAGUUGCGCCCGAAGCCAUUAGGCCGAGGGCACGCCUGCCUGGGCGUCACACGUCGUUGCCCCCCCAUCUACUCCUUCGGGAUUGCGGGGGGCGGAUGAUGGCCUCUCGUGCGCCUCGUCGCGCGGUUGGCCUAAAUGCCAAGUCCUCGGCGACGCACGCCACGACAAUCGGUGGUUGCGAAACCUCGGUUGCCUGUCGUGUGCGGUCGUCGCGCAUCGAGGGCUCGAAAAAAUUGCCGGGCUUCGGCUCGACUUUCAACGCGACCCCAGGUCAGGCGGGGUUACCCGCUGAAUUUAAGCAUAUCAAUAAGCGAGGA
rnacentral:misc_RNA from 1 species